rnacentral:rRNA from 1 species
CCAGACUCCUACGGGAGGCAGCAGUGGGGAAUAUUGCACAAUGGGGGGAACCCUGAUGCAGCGACGCCGCGUGAGUGAAGAAGUAUUUCGGUAUGUAAAGCUCUAUCAGCAGGGAAGAAAAUGACGGUACCUGACUAAGAAGCCCCGGCUAACUACGUGCCAGCAGCCGCGGUAAUACGUAGGGGGCAAGCGUUAUCCGGAUUUACUGGGUGUAAAGGGAGCGUAGACGGCAGAGCAAGUCUGAAGUGAAAGCCCGCGGCCCAACUGCGGGACUGCUUUGGAAACUGCCCGGCUAGAGUACGGGAGGGGCAGGCGGAAUUCCUGGUGUAGCGGUGAAAUGCGUAGAUAUCAGGAGGAACACCGGCGGCGAAGGCGGCCUACUGGACGGUGACUGACGCUGAGGCUCGAAAGCGUGGGGAGCAAACAGGAUUAGAUACCCUCGUAA